UUGGUGUUGCCACGCUGAGACGCCCCGUGGAAGGGAUCAGCGUGGUGAUGGUGGCGAUCUCCGCCCUUGCCGGGGCGGUACAGCCGUUAAGCGUCCGGCGUCCGGGAGUUGCCGCUCUCGGGCGCCGUCG
rfam:Streptomyces zinciresistens K42 contig00004, whole genome shotgun sequence.